rnacentral:rRNA from 1 species
CGUUGUUCGGAUUUACUGGGCGUAAAGAGCGCGUAGGUGGUUCGAUGAGUCGGAGGUGAAAUCCCUCGGCUUAACCGAGGACCCGCGUCCGAUACUGUCGAACUUGAGUGCAGGAGAGGAGAGCGGAAUUCCCAGUGUAGCGGUGAAAUGCGUAGAUAUUGGGAGGAACACCGGUGGCGAAGGCGGCUCUCUGGACUGUCACUGACACUGAGGCGCGAAAGCUAGGGGAGCAAACGGGAUUAGAUACCCCGGUAGUCCUAGCCGUAAACGAUGGGCACUAGGUGUGGGAGGUAUCGACCCCUUCCGUGCCGCAGCUAACGCAUUAAGUGCCCCGCCUGGGGAGUACGGCCGCAAGGUCGAAACUCAAAGGAAUUGACGGGGGCCCGCACAAGCGGUGGAGCAUGUGGUUUAAUUCGACGCAACGCGAAGAACCUUACCAGGGCCUGACAUCCCGCGAAUCCCGCCGAAAGACGGGAGUGCCCGCAAGGGAGCGCGGAGACAGGUGGUGCAUGGCUGUCGUCAGCUCGUGUCGUGAGAUGUUGGGUUAAGUCCCGCAACGAGCGCAACCCUCACCCCUUGUUGCUACCAGGUAAUGCUGGGCACUCUAGGGGAACUGCCCCGGUCAACGGGGAGGAAGGCGGGGAUGACGUCAAGUCAUCAUGCCCCUUACGUCCUGGGCUACACACGUGCUACAAUGGCCGGUACAAAGGGAUGCGACACCGCGAGGUAGAGCUAAACCCAAAAAGCCGGUGUAAGUUCAGAUUGGAGUCUGCAACUCGACUCCAUGAAGGAGGAAUCGCUAGUAAUCGCGUAUCAGCACGACGCGGUGAAUACGUUCCCGGGCCUUGUACACACCGCCCGUCACACCACGAAAGCCAGUUGUACUCGAAGUCGCUGAGCUAACCCGCAAGGGAGGCAGGCGCCGAAGGUAUGACUGGUGAU